rnacentral:rRNA from 1 species
UCGAACGGUAACAGGAAGCAGCUUGCUGCUUCGCUGACGAGUGGCGGACGGGUGAGUAAUGUCUGGGAAGCUGCCUGAUGGAGGGGGAUAACUACUGGAAACGGUAGCUAAUACCGCAUAAUGUCGCAAGACCAAAGAGGGGGACCUUCGGGCCUCUUGCCAUCGGAUGUGCCCAGAUGGGAUUAGCUUGUUGGUGGGGUAACGGCUCACCAAGGCGACGAUCCCUAGCUGGUCUGAGAGGAUGACCAGCCACACUGGAACUGAGACACGGUCCAGACUCCUACGGGAGGCAGCAGUGGGGAAUAUUGCACAAUGGGCGCAAGCCUGAUGCAGCCAUGCCGCGUGUAUGAAGAAGGCCUUCGGGUUGUAAAGUACUUUCAGCGGGGAGGAAGGGAGUAAAGUUAAUACCUUUGCUCAUUGACGUUACCCGCAGAAGAAGCACCGGCUAACUCCGUGCCAGCAGCCGCGGUAAUACGGAGGGUGCAAGCGUUAAUCGGAAUUACUGGGCGUAAAGCGCACGCAGGCGGUUUGUUAAGUCAGAUGUGAAAUCCCCGGGCUCAACCUGGGAACUGCAUCUGAUACUGGCAAGCUUGAGUCUCGUAGAGGGGGGUAGAAUUCCAGGUGUAGCGGUGAAAUGCGUAGAGAUCUGGAGGAAUACCGGUGGCGAAGGCGGCCCCCUGGACGAAGACUGACGCUCAGGU